GGAGGAAUGCGUGAGUGGUUUAAACGGGCGGUCUUGAAAACCGUUGUUCUCGCAAGAGAACCGUGGGUUCGAAUCCUACUUCCUCCGCCA
rnacentral:tRNA from 1 species